rnacentral:misc_RNA from 1 species
CCGGUGAUUUCAAGACCUAUGUUUGGAGCCUUUGGCAAGGCUGGAAGUGCUAACUCCGUUGCUUUUGUCAGCAAGAUCGCAGCGUAUAAUGGGAUAAAGGCUUUGUAUGGACUCAGCAAAAGAGUGGAAGCCGUAGGCAAUGUUAGGAGACUCACUAAACUUGACAUGAAGCUCAAUGAUGCCCUUCCUAAUAUCACAGUAGAUCCAGAAACAUAUACAGUGACAGCAGAUGGUGAGGUUCUCACCUGUACUGCUUCCACCACGGUUCCGCUUUCUCGGAAUUACUUCCUUUUUUAGACAUCACAAUGAAUAUCACAACUAAUAAAUUAGAAUAAAUGAACGAAUUUCCUUUCUUUUCAUCAUCAUUUUUUUGUGUGAUCUUGUGGGAGUUGUUAUUUGCUUUCCAUACUUUGAAUAACAAUUGAGAAUACAUGCAAUGAUUUUAUCAUGC